rnacentral:rRNA from 1 species
UACGAAGGGGGCUAGCGUUGCUCGGAAUCACUGGGCGUAAAGCGCACGUAGGCGGCUUGUUAAGUCAGGGGUGAAAUCCUGGAGCUCAACUCCAGAACUGCCUUUGAUACUGGCGAUCUCGAGUCCGGGAGAGGUGAGUGGAACUGCGAGUGUAGAGGUGAAAUUCGUAGAUAAUUCGCAAGAACACCAGUGGCGAAGGCGAACUCGCCUGGA